ACAGUGGACGCGAGCAUCUGUGGCCAAGUUUUUAAGGGCGCACGGUGGAUGCCUUGGCACCAGGAACCGAUGAAGGACGUGGGAGGCCACGAUAGUCCCCGGGGAGUCGUCAACCAGGCUUUGAUCCGGGGGUUUCCGAAUGGGGAAACCCGGCAGUCGUCAUGGGCUGUCACCCUUGUCUGAACACAUAGGGCAAGUGGAGGGAACGCGGGGAAGUGAAACAUCUCAGUACCCGCAGGAAGAGAAAACAACCGUGAUUCCGGGAGUAGUGGCGAGCGAAACCGGAUGAGGCCAAACCGUAUGCGUGUGAGACCCGGCAGGGGUUGCGUAUACGGGGUUGUGGGAUCUCUCUUUUACGGUCUGCCGGCCGUGAGACGAGUCAGAAACCGUUGAUGUAGGCGAAGGACAUGCGAAAGGUCCGGCGUAGAGGGUAAGACCCCCGUAGCUGAAACAUCAGCGGCUCGUUUGAGAGACACCCAAGUAGCACGGGGCCCGAGAAAUCCCGUGUGAAUCUGGCGGGACCACCCGCUAAGCCUAAAUAUUCCCUGGUGACCGAUAGCGGAUAGUACCGUGAGGGAAUGGUGAAAAGUACCGCGGGAGCGGAGUGAAAUAGUACCUGAAACCGUGUGCCUACAAGCCGUGGGAGCGUCGGAUGGGAGCUUGCUUCCAUCUCGUGACUGCGUGCCUUUUGAAGAAUGAGCCUGCGAGUUUGCGGUGUGUUGCGAGGUUAACCCGUGUGGGGAAGCCGUAGCGAAAGCGAGUCCGAACAGGGCGUUUCAGUAGCAUGCUCAAGACCCGAAGCGGAGUGAUCUAGCCAUGGGCAGGUUGAAGCGGAGGUAAGACUUCGUGGAGGACCGAACCCACCAGGGUUGAAAACCUGGGGGAUGACCUGUGGUUAGGGGUGAAAGGCCAAUCAAACUCCGUGAUAGCUGGUUCUCCCCGAAAUGCAUUUAGGUGCAGCGUCGUGUGUUUCUUGCCGGAGGUAGAGCACUGGAUAGGCGAUGGGCCCUACCGGGUUACUGACCUUAGCCAAACUCCGAAUGCCGGUAAGUGAGAGCGCGGCAGUGAGACUGUGGGGGAUAAGCUCCAUGGUCGAGAGGGAAACAGCCCAGAGCAUCGACUAAGGCCCCUAAGCGUACGCUAAGUGGGAAAGGAUGUGGAGUCGCACAGACAACCAGGAGGUUGGCUUAGAAGCAGCCACCCUUGAAAGAGUGCGUAAUAGCUCACUGGUCUAGUGAUUCCGCGCCGACAAUGUAGCGGGGCUCAAGCGUACCGCCGAAGUCGUGUCAUUGCAGCAUGAGGGCCAACGCCCGCUGUGAUGGGUAGGGGAGCGUCGUCUGCCGGGUGAAGCAGCCGCGGAAGCGAGUUGUGGACGGUUGACGAGUGAGAAUGCAGGCAUGAGUAGCGAUACACACGUGGGAAACGUGUGCGCCGAUUGACUAAGGGUUCCUGGGUCAAGCUGAUCUGCCCAGGGUAAGUCGGGACCUAAGGCGAGGCCGACAGGCGUAGUCGAUGGAUAACCGGUUGAUAUUCCGGUACCCGCUGUGAAGCGUCAAACAUCGAGCAUCGUGAUGCUAAGGCCGUGAAGCCGCCCUGAUCUCUUCGGAGUUGAGGGGAGUGGUGGAGCCGCCGGACCAAGCGGUUAGUAGGUGAGUGAUGGGGUGACGCAGGAAGGUAGUCCAUCCCGGGCGAUGGUAGUCCCGGGGUAAGGGUGUAGGCCGUGCGGUAGGUAAAUCCGUCGCACAUAAGGCUGAGACCUGAUGCCGAGCCGAUUGUGGUGAAGUGGAUGAUCCUAUGCUGUCGAGAAAAGCCUCUAGCGAGUUUCAUGGCGGCCCGUACCCUAAACCGACUCAGGUGGUCAGGUAGAGAAUACCGAGGCGUUCGGGUGAACUAUGGUUAAGGAACUCGGCAAAAUGCCCCCGUAACUUCGGGAGAAGGGGGGCCACAUCCGGUGAGAGGAUUUCACUCCUUGAGCUGGGGGUGGCCGCAGAGACCAGCGAGAAGCGACUGUUUACUAAAAACACAGGUCCGUGCGAAGCCGUAAGGCGAUGUAUACGGACUGACGCCUGCCCGGUGCUGGAACGUUAAGGGGACCGGUUAGUCGAGAUUCGUCUCGGCGAAGCUGAGAACUUAAGCGCCAGUAAACGGCGGUGGUAACUAUAACCAUCCUAAGGUAGCGAAAUUCCUUGUCGGGUAAGUUCCGACCUGCACGAAUGGCGUAACGACUUCUCGACUGUCUCAACCAUAGGCCCGGUGAAAUUGCACUACGAGUAAAGAUGCUCGUUUCGCGCAGCAGGACGGAAAGACCCCGGGACCUUUACUACAGUUUGAUAUUGGUGUUCGGUUCGGCUUGUGUAGGAUAGCUGGGAGACUUUGAUCAUCGGACGCCAGUUCGGUGUGAGUCGUCGUUGAAAUACCAGUCUGGUCGUGCUGGAUGUCUAACCUGGGUCCGUGAUCCGGAUCAGGGACAGUGUCUGAUGGGUAGUUUAACUGGGGCGGUUGCCUCCUAAAGAGUAACGGAGGCGCCCAAAGGUUCCCUCAGCCUGGUUGGUAAUCAGGUGUUGAGUGUAAGUGCACAAGGGAGCUUGACUGUGAGACCGACGGGUCGAGCAGGGACGAAAGUCGGGACUAGUGAUCCGGCGGUGGCUUGUGGAAGCGCCGUCGCUCAACGGAUAAAAGGUACCCCGGGGAUAACAGGCUGAUCUUCCCCAAGAGUCCAUAUCGACGGGAUGGUUUGGCACCUCGAUGUCGGCUCGUCGCAUCCUGGGGCUGGAGUCGGUCCCAAGGGUUGGGCUGUUCGCCCAUUAAAGCGGUACGCGAGCUGGGUUUAGAACGUCGUGAGACAGUUCGGUCCCUAUCCGCUGUGCGCGUAGGAGUCUUGAGAAGGGCUGUCCCUAGUACGAGAGGACCGGGACGGACGAACCUCUGGUGUGCCAGUUGUCCUGCCAAGGGCAUGGCUGGUUGGCUACGUUCGGGAGGGAUAACCGCUGAAAGCAUCUAAGCGGGAAGCCUGCUUCGAGAUGAGGACUCCCACCCACUUGAUGGGUUAAGGCUCCCAGUAGACGACUGGGUUGAUAGGCCGGAUCUGGAAGCACGGUAACGUGUGGAGGUGACCGGUACUAAUAGGCCGAGGGCUUGUCCUCAGUUG
rnacentral:rRNA from 1 species